rnacentral:lncRNA from 1 species
AUGCCGGAGGAGAGGGGGGGUGGAGUGGUGAGUGCCCGCGGAAGGGAGCGUGGGCGGCGCGGGGCACCGGGGGGCGCGGAGCCUCCGCCCCACCACAGGAGGCGGACAGGGAGGGAAGAAGGGUGCCCGGAGCGGAGCAGAGCGGUUUCUUCUGAAUUCACUGUACAGAGGUUGCCCAUCCAAAAUCUGUGGAAUCAUGUCACUUGUACAUUCCAGUGGAGAAUGAAUGUUUUCUGGGCAGAAAGUUGGUGUCUCAGAGUGAAGAGAACCCAGUGAGAGGGGACUGGUAGGCACCUGAGCACGCUAUGUCUUACACCACCUCCAGACUGAUCGAGAUUUACCCCUGGAAGGAUGAAAUGGUGUUCAGUGAAGGUGACUUUGUUUUGGUAAAAGAAAUUACACGUGCUUUACAGUGAUUGGAGCACGUGCAGAUUUCCAGUUUUAUGGAAGAAUUCAUUUUUUUUCCAUUGUGCUACAUAGAACAGAGCCUUGAACACAGUACCACAGCUGUGAAACUGUUUGAACAUAGUUAUAUUAAAUAUUUGGGUUCUGACACUGACUUUUUGUUUAUAUCCUCUGAGUGGUUAGUGGUGUGUAAAUAAAAAUAAUAUAUAUAUAUAUAUUUAAGACUAC